UGAAACCGAAAUUUAAAUUAAAUAUGAAAUUAAAUUAAACAUAUUCAAAAAUUUGAUUUAAAUUUUAAAUUGAUAUUUAAUAUAUUAUUUCAUUCAAAUUUGAAUUUAAACUUUGAAGUCAAAUUCACAUUUUGAAUUGAAAUUCAAAUCGAAGUUUGAAAUUAAAUUGAAUUUAGAAUCCAAAUUGAAUUGAAUUUAAAAUAAAAAUUAAAAUUAACAAACAAACAGAAUUUGAAUUUUAAUUAAUUGAAUUCAAAAAUUUAAAAUUUAUUUAAAUUAUUAAUGCUAAAUUAAUUUUUUUUAAUUUAAAAUUUAAUGGGUUUAAUUACAAGUCCAUUGCCCACCUUUGCACAUUUUCAAUUUGAUCCCCAAUCUAGUUUUCUUUUUUUUGCACAUCCGCUGCCGUAGCGUACCAAUGGGGCUAACAUCAUGCGCGCUUCCGUGCGCUAACAUGUGAGCUAACUGAUAAUUUCCGUCAUUGAACCCACAUCUACGGCGGACUUAUUGAAAUGAAACAAGAUAGAGACUGAUUCCAAAAAAAAAAAAAAGGUUGGAGACCAAAUGAAUAAAUACUAAAGUUAAGAACAUUGGUUAAAUUAACACAAAAAUCAAUAGCACCAAUAGCUUGGUGCUGAUAGUAUUCCACCUAUUAUAUAACUAUAUAUAUAUAUAUAUAUAUAUAUAUAUAUAGUAUGUCUUGUGUGCUAUUAGGAGCACGGAGGCUUCCGUGCUCCUAAGGCGCCGUUUUUUAUGAUGGAGCUUGCGAAUCGACAAUCGGUUCCAUUAGACUUGAUCUAGCGUAUUUGAAGUAUCUAGAAAAUAAAUUUUGCGAAUUUUCAAUAUCAUUUACUUAGCGAUCGAAAGGGUUCAAAAUCAUUUAGAACCAAAUUUCAUAAUUUUUUGAUUUCAUUUGCCUAGUGAAGGAGUACGCUCAAAAUAAACGGCUGAAAAUAAAAUCACACAAAAAUAGUGAUAAAAGGCUCACAUUUUAAAUCGAAAAUAUUAUUCUUACAUCUUGAUGUUAAGUAGAAUUUUCUAUUAAAAUUUCAUGUAAUUUUGAUUCUUUUACACCGUUGAACUUUAAAACGCGCCAUAUCAGUCGUUAAAAUAGUCAUUUUUGAGACUCUUUGAUCACUUGGUAAAUGAUGUCAAAAAAUUAUGAAAUUUGAUUUUUGAAUAGUUCUAAUAACGUAAAUCAUGCCUAACGGAGCCGAUCGCCGAAUCUGAUGCUCCAUCAUAAAAAAAACAACUAGAAAGUACGAAAAUCUCCGUACUUUUGAAAGUGUAGGAAACGUACUAUAUAUAUAAUUGAGCUCCUAUGAUUUUAAAAGUAUUAUGUUAUUGGUGUUUGUAGAUUUUUGGCUAUUGAAUUAAGAAAUAUGUGGUUAGAAUGAUGUGGCCCCUCUAGGGUUGAGUGGAUGGUUGGUUGAAUAGCAUAAUCUAACAGUUGAAAAUGAUAAAAAACGUAGAUCUAACGGUAAAAAAUUUACAAGCACCAAAUGCUUCGUGGUUUUCCAAGCACCAUAGCCGAACUAUAUAUAAGAGUAUCCAAUAUUUUUAAAAGUUGAGAAAUACUGGAUACCUGACAUACGCUUACACACUGUUUGGUUCGGGGUUAAAGGUAGGGAUAACAGGAAUUUUGGGAGUUGGGAUUAGCUAACCCUACUCUAAAUGGACUAGCCCCUUAGGAAUAGAAACUCCAAACAAGAAUUUUGGGAGUUGGGUUUAGCUAACCCUACCCCAAAUGGACUAGCCCCUUAGGAAUAGGGGUGGGAUUAAGUUAAUCCCACUGCUAUUUAAUUUUUAAAUAUAAAUAUAAAUUUAAAAUUUUAAAAUUUAAAAUUAAUAUUUAUUUUUUAAAAUUAAAAAUUAAAGAUUUGAAAUUUAAAAUUUAAAUUUUAAAAUUAUUAAUUUUAAUUAUUUAAAUUUUAAAUUUGAUAUUUUAUAUUUGUAACUUUAAAUUUUUAAAUUUGAGAUUUAAAAAUAUAGACUUUAAUUUUAAAUUUUGAAUUUUAAAUUUUAAAUUAUCAACUAUCUUUCUUAUUUCAUUUACUCCAACCAAACACUAUUUUGCUUAUAUUUGAACUAAAUCCAAUUCUUAAGCAAACACAAAAUUAUUCUAACCCUAUCUUAAUCCUGAACUUAAUCCUAUUCCUAAAAUAACUAACCCCGAACCAAAUAAAUUAGCCUUAGGUAAAUACAUUAAAAAAGAUUACGUGAUAGGGCGUAGCGUUAUUUUAAAGUGAGAUGAUAUAUUUGCACCAUAAGUUUGUGGUUAAUAAAAAUUAAAAACUAUUAUUGGUGUAAUUAACUUUUAUUUUCUAAUGAAUAAAAAGUCAAAAAUAUUUUUUUUUUUUAUGCAAGCCAGUCAUUUCAUUACUUUACAAUGGCUCAUCAUUCAGAUCCUAAUACUUUAAAAUGUGUCGUUUUGUCGUAGCCGCGUCAUAUCGUAUCCCCACACGCUUACUUGGAAGAUUGUUAAAACAAUGGCUCAACUCUUUAGUAUUGAAUUUUUCAACCAUGUGAUAAUUAAUUACAUGCAUAACAAUAUUUUUUUGAUUUGAGAACUAUUGAUAUUAAUCUGAGGAGCAAUAUUAUUGGUACGCUCCACUCCUUCAAUAAAUGAGAUCUUUUUAUUAGUCACAUCACAUGACUAGUGAAUUAUGAAUUCAGAUAUAUAUCUAGAAUUAUUAGUGUUAAUUAUUUUUUUUUGAAAGAUAGGUAGCACGCAUCCGCUUCAUUUAUUUCAUUUAGAAAUAAAUUUAGCUAGAAAUAUGAAUCAAUUAGGAUUCGAACUUGGGUCUCGGGUACCAACCACUAAGCCCUUUGCCACUUGCUCUAGGGAUGGUCGGUUAUUAGUGUUAAUUAUUAAUUUUAAAAAUUUGAGUUAUAAAAAGAUACAACUAAUUUAUUUAACGCAUACAAUCACAGUGUUUAAAAGUCUCGACUGUGACUCGAUUCAAUCCGACCUUCAGCAACUUUAGACCCAAUCCGGCCUACCGACAUUUCGAACAUAACUCGACCAGGCAUAUGAUCUAUUGUCCUCUUUUUAGUCCUUUUUUUUUUGAGAAAUAGAUAGCGCGCUAGCCGCUUCGUUUAUUUUAUUUAGAAAUAUAUUUAGUUAGAAAUGUGAAUCAACAAGAAUUCGAACUUGAGACCUUACGUACCUACCACCAAGCCCUUUAUAACUUGCUCUAGGGACGGUCGGUCCGUCCUUUUAAGUCAAAUAUGCACUUUCUUAGUUGGAGUGCUUUUUGAAAAAAGGGAAAAAAAAAAAGGGAUUACAUGGUUCCAUUGUCGACUUGUGCUCAUAUAAGUACUCAUAUUUGUGAAACAAUCCUUCUUUUUGUCGAAUAUAUAAUUAGAAACAGCCUCCGCUGAAAGUUUAAGUUUUUAAGAAUAGUGAUUAUUUUACAUUCUUUAAUAUAAUAUUAAAGUAAAAGGUUAUGCGCGUGAGACUUCUAGCCUUAAUUAAUUUUUUUUUUAUUUAAUUCGAGUCUAUGUUUUAAGCUUAUAAAAAUAUUUCAAACUCACAUAUGAGAAAUAAUACUGAAUAUGUUAUUAAAUUCUAUUCUCCGACAACUUAAGUUUUUGAAGAAUAAUAAUUAUUUUACAUAUUCUUUAAUAUAUUUAUCUCAAAAAAUUUAAGCAUUUAAAAAAUAGUAUAACUGAAACUAUCAAUAAAUUAUGUUUUAAUAUCUCAUUAUCAAAAUGAUAUAAUUGAUUUAGAAAGGUACAACGUUGUGCAUAUUUGCUAUUACUCUUCUAUUACUGGGGAAAAAAAAAACGAAAAGAAAGGAACCAAGAAUAUAGUUCCACUUUUUAUUUUUUCUAUUAUGAGCUUUUUUAAAAGUUUAUAAUUUUUCGGAAUUAAUUCCAAAAAACACAUUAUUAUACAAGUUUAGACAUCUUUUUUAUAUUACUCCAGUUCAUCAAUUCAUCUUUAUAUUAUAUGUUUGUGAGUGUGUGUGAAGUGAAAUGCUCAUGCAUCCAAAUAUGUUCUUAGUUAAAAAAGACAAAAGUGUAUCAUAUUCUCUAUUAGCUUAAGCUUUGCUAGUUAAUUUUUUAAAAUCCUUUAAAAUAGUAUCUAAUAUUAGGAAUCAGUAAAUUUCGAGUCUAUAUAUACGCGGAGCAUUGAAUAAGUAAAUAAAAUAACCUUUUUUGUUAGCUUAAGUUUUAGCAUUACCAAAGUCCUUAAUGGAUAUCAUAUAAGAUCAUAAAUUUCUGAGUUUAAAUCUCUACUGAGCUCUUAGUCUAAUUUAAUUUUUUUUCCGCUAUACUACAACAAAAUUAGGUUAUAUCGAUACAUUUUUGAGACAUUUUUAUUUACGUGUCCUAUUUAUACAAAAACUUUUUAAAAAUUUCUAUUAAGAUCUAAAUAUAAAGUCUAAUACAAUAAAAAAUAAAAAGUUUCUCUACUCAACCAACCAUAUCCAGCCCACUCCAUCUGAUUACAAAUAAAAAAGAAAAAAAAAUUGAUCACACCAUCUCCCGUUCUCCUCCUUUAGCAUCGCAGCCAACGAGAUCGGGUUCCGGUGGCUGAAGUUCGGCCGCGAUGAUAUUGCAGGAACCGUAGAGGGUUACAAUCGCCACGAAUUCUUCCGCCAUAAGUUGUUGGAGGAGUGAGUACCAAAUAUUAAGACUGUCCCACUUACAGCGACCUCAUAUAUAGUAACAUUUUUAAAAAGUGUCGAUAAUUUAGUUAGCACCAUUUUUUUUUUACCUGUAUCGAUAUUUAAAAAUGUCGCUAUAUACUGUUUUUGUUGUAAUACUAUUAACUCUAUUAUGGCUUGUUUGGUUCAUCCAUUUUGGGUAUAGAAUGGAAAUCGGUUUGAUCAAAUCCGGUUAAUUUUGUUUGAUUCACAUGAAUCGAUUUGGAAUUCCUAUUCCGGACUGGAAUGGGAAUGGCCCAUUAGCCUUCAACUUAAUUCCGGUCUUCUAGCCCGGAUUGAGAUUUCAUUCCGGCAGCCCACUAAGUUCUCGAAGCCCAUGUGACCAUCUCACCCCCCUUCUCUUCAUCCCUUUCUCAUCUUUAAAAAAAAAACUAUCCUCUCUCAAAACUCUAUUCCUAACCCACAUCAAUAAAAGUUUUUAAAAAUAAAUUUAAUAUUUUUUUUGGAAAACUUAUUAGAGAAUAGUAUUAUAUUUUUCAUAAAGUUUAAAUAAUAUAAAUUUAUAUUUAAGAAUAAAAUUAAUAUUAUAGUAUCUUAUAAUUUUUUUUAGUUUAUACGAACCAAAUAAUGAAAUGUGAAUAACUCAUUCCAAUUUCCAAUCCACAAAUAAACCAAACGUCUUGGGAGAAUGGGUCAUUCCAAUUAUCAUUCCAAUUCAUUCCCAUUUCAUUAUCUAUUCUAAUUCCACCCUUGAACCAAAUAAGCCCUAAGUCCGUAUCUUAGACCUGUCAAAAAGUCACGAGCACUUACAUAAGGAAUAAAUAUAGAGAAUUAAAAUAUAUAUAUUUUUAAUUUUGUGCAGGAAAGAACUUUUUAUUCUGGUUCGGGCCAUUGCCCAGGAUCGUGGUGACAGAACCGGAACUGAUAAAGAAGAUGUUCAGUGACCCUAAAGAGUUCAUAUUACUUGUACAGCAUCCAGCUUUGUAUCAGCUUAUUGGAAAAGCACUUCCUUUGGCCGAGGGAGAUGCAUGGGCCACCAAUAGAAAGCUCCUUAGCCCCUUCUUCAAUUUGGAGUCCCUUAAGGUANGUAUUUAAUUAUAUAUCGUAUUAAUUUUGUAUGUGCUACAUAGUUUAUCACUAAUAUCUACAGACAAACUUUUUUUUUUUUAGAGAUUUAGCCUUCUCGUGUAGUGUGAUCACAAAGAUCAUUUUGUUCUUGAAGUGCUAAAACAGAAAAUUAAUUAAACUCUCUUUGGUUUUUUAUUAUUAUUUUGCUUUUUUUUUAUUUUUUAUUAACCUGGUUGAAUAUGACAACAACCUUGUCUCUAAUUGAUUCCUCGCUUACUUCAGAAGAUUCUUAAAAUAGUGGCUCAACCUUUAAGAAUUGAAUUUUGCAACCACAUGAUAAUUACAUGCAUAAAAAUAUUUUCUGAUUAGAUAACUGUUGAUAUUAAUUUGAGGCGCAAUACUACAUGAACACUCCACCCAUUCAAUGAAUGAGAUUUUUUUACUAAUCACAUAACGCGACAAGUAAAUUCGUUCCACUUCUUUGAUGGAUUCGGAUAUAUGUAUAGAACCAUUGUUGCUAAUCAUUAAUUUUAGAAACUCAAUCCACAGAAAAAUACAACUAAUUCACUUAAGUGUACAGUUACAGUGCCUAAAAGAAUAUUGAAUAUAUAUAUAAUUAAAAUACUGUUCUCUAGCGGUUUAAACGUUUGAAGAAUAAUGAUUGUUUUACAUUCUUUAACAUAUUUAAUUCUCCAAAAACUUAAGCCUCUUAAGAACAUGCAGUGUCACUGAAACUACCAAUAAAUUAUUUUGUUUAUAUUUUAUGAUCAAGAUAAUAUAGUUGUUUUAGGAAGGUACAAAUUUGAACGUAUUAAUUUAUUAUCGUAUCUGAUAUUAGGAAUCAAUAACUUUCAGUAUUAACUACAAGUCCGUAUCUUAGAUCAGUCAAAAAGUCACGAGCACUUACACGAGCAAUAAAUAUAGAAAAUUAAAAUAUAUAAUAUUUUUUUAUUUUCUGCAGGGAAGAAUUUUUUAUUCUGGUUCGGGCCACUGCCCAGGAUCGUGGUGACAGAACCGGAACUGAUAAAGAAGAUGUUCAGUGACCCUAAAGAGUUCAUAUUACUUGUACAGCAUCCAGCUUUGUAUCAGCUUAUUGGAAAAGCACUUCCUUUGGCCGAGGGAGAUGCAUGGGCCACCAAUAGAAAGCUCCUUAGCCCCUUCUUCAAUUUGGAGUCCCUUAAGGUAAUAUAUAUUCUUACGUGGUGUUGAAGAGGACUUUUCUCUAUCCGCUUCUGCUUCUGCUGUGCCAAGAAACUUAAACAUUGAGGUUGUUUGGUGCUUCUGAUUUUUCUACAGAAAAAGUGACAGAAUACAACGACCGUUUUUAACCGCACUGCUUAGAUAACACUUUAUUAACCAGCGCUACACUGCCGAGCAGUUUAACCUUAUUUCGAAUAAAUUGAAAUAGAAAAAGUUCAUUGUGUGGAAGGUAAAUUAGACAUGCACUGAGUUUAUUCUUCUUAACCGUGUUAUGCAGGGUCUGUCACACAUAGUUAUAGAAGCCACGGAAAAAUUGGUGGAAACUUGGAGUAAUUUAGCAAAGUCCAGUGAAUGGGAAGCCGAUGUGUACAGCGAGUUCGAAGAGCUUGUUCAGAACAUCGCGGCCGCCGUCGUGUUCGGAAGGAAUGCCAAGGAAGGGAAGUACAUUGGCCAUCUGCAAAUGAAGCAGGAAAACCUGAUAGCAGGAGCAUUGCGGAAUGUUUACAUUCCUGGCACAAGGUAACAUUAAUUCAAAUUCAAACGGUUUUUUUUUUUUAAAUCAGUUUAAAUUAAAAAUAAAACAAGUAUAAUAUGCUCAGGUGUACAUGUUACAGAUGCUGUAAAAAAAAAAGAAAUAUAUGCAUAAUGUAGUCACACAGAACUAUAAAUGUAAAUCCUUUUUUCUGAUGGUUAUUUCUGAAUGCAGGUUCCUCCCUACAUCCUUCAAUUUGAGGAGCAAUUGGCUAAGAAAAGAAGUGGACAGGCUGCUGAUGCAGCUUAUCAAGAUACGAGACGCGAAUAGAGAUACGACAGAAAGCGACUUACUCAGUUAUCUGCUCUCGUCGUCCAUGCCUCGCGAACAAAUCAAGGAAGAGUGUCGCGUCUUUUCGGUGGCUGCUUACGAGACUGUAUCUAUACUUCUGUCCUGGACUUUCAUAAUGCUGGGCACAUUUACUGAGUGGCAGGACAAAGCUCGCGAAGAAGUUAGUGAAGUGCUCAAAGGGAAUAAUCCCUCCUUCGAAACUCUCAGCCGAUUCAAGAUAGUAAGUUACUCCGAGUCGCAUCCACUUCUUUGCAUAGAUUCAGUGAUCAAACCAUAGUCUAAAAUUAAAUGAAGCAUGCUUGUUUUCGAGUUUACAGAUUCAAAAAAGCCGCAAUCAUGUGCAAUCACAAAACAUUAACAUGGCAACUUAAGAGUUAGCAAAUAAUGUAUGUGCCAAAUCCACCAUCAAGGAUUCAAAAUCAAGCAUUUUUGUGUUAUGCGCACGCCAACUGAUUUGCGAUUCAUGAAUAUGAAACAGUCCUAAUAGCACUUGUAUUCUGGUGUUUGUGCCAACAGCUCAACAUGAUAAUCAAUGAGACUCUCCGACUGUACCCUCCGGUCCCGACAGUAAUCCGCGGAGUGAAGGAAGACACAAAACUAGCAAACCUAACCGUUCCCGCGGGAACAGGCUUCAUAGUGCCUAUAAUCGCAAUACACCACGACAAGGACUUGUGGGGCGAGAACGCCGACGUGUUCGACCCGAGCCGCUUCUCCGAGGGUGUGGCUAAGGCCGCGAAGCAUCCAAUGGCCUUCAUGCCAUUCACUGUCGGUCCGAGGAUAUGUAUAGGGAUGAACUUCGUCUUGAUGGAGGCUAAGAUCAUCCUGGCAAUGCUGCUGCAGAAGUUUAGAUUUGUGGUGUCUCCGAACUACAAACACGAGCCGUCGUACAGCGUCAUCAUGAAGCCCGGUAAGGGUGCGCAGAUCGUACUCACGAGAAUAUGAUCUCGCGAAUCAAAUGUGUAUGUAUUGUUUGUGAAAUGUAGAGCCUUAGUAUCUGCUUCUUUGUUGAGUAUCAAUUGUAAUAGAAUUAUACAGUACUGGACAUGUUAUCAGCUUUUGAUUAAUAAAGGAAACAGUUAUGGUCUUGGAUUGUAUGCUGUGCACUUGUGCUUGUUGCUAAUUGAUAAUCUAGAAGUGGAUGAAAAUUGUUUAGUCCUACAUCGGAAAGCAAACAAAACUAGAGCUGUUUCUUAUUUGGCUUAGUCCUACGUAUGUUUGAAAAAAGUAAUAUUUAUAUAUCUCGACAUGGUAUUAUAGCGAGUUAAAUAUAAAGGCUCGCUCUGAUACCAUGUUGAGAUGUAUGUAUAUUACUUAUUAUUUUUGGAUAUACAAUAUACCAACAUCUAAAUUAUUUUCUUUGAAACAUCUUCUUUUAUGCAGAUUUAUUGCUUUGAAUUUCAAGUAGAACUCUCUUCGGAAUGCAUAGAAUUUUUUAAAAAAUUUCAAAUAUAUUGGAGUUUAAUUGAAUGCCAUUUUGUUUUAUUGAUAGGUGAAAAAAAAAAAUAAAUAAUUAUGGUAUGUUUAAUUUUUCCAAUAAAUAAUUAGUGUAGUUAAAUAAAAAUAGCUAUUUCACAUUAUUGAUAAAACAACACUAGUAAUAGCAAGCGAAUUCUCACCAAAACUGACAUUAAAUCACAGUAAUCAAAUAGAAACCAUUUGCAUUGCAACAAGAGUGGACCAAAUCAAUCCAAAUCAACUACAAUCUCGUAAAUUAAUAGCGAAACAAUAAAUUUGAAAAAUUAUUUACUGUUAUACUUAGGGGCAAGCAUCAUGACCUGUCUCAAGAUUCGCGAAUGUUGUAUCCGUGUACUUAAAAUGGAGGUCAGGUUAGGCCGAGUCUUAAUUGAGACCUGUUAAUAAUGGAUUUGUAUACUUUAAGUGAAUUGAUUAUAUAUUUAUAACGACUCGAAUGGUUGAAAUUAAUGUUAAAGCCACAAACACCCAAUCAUAUAAACCUAAUAAAAGAUUUGAAGNCGCGAAUCAAACAUAUGUAUUGUUUGUGAAAUGUAGAGCCUUAGUAUCUGCUUCUUUGUUGAGUAUCAAUUGUAACAGAAUUAUACAGUGGAUAUGUUAUCAGCUUUUGAUUAAUAAAGGAAACAGUUAUGGUCUUGGAUUGAAGGUUGUUGCUAAUUGCUAAUUGCUAAUUGCUAAUUCAGAAGUGGAUGAAAGUGUUGGCCUAGUGACCUUAAUCUACAAUUAGAUUUUGAUGACAACAAAUAAUUGUGUAAAUUGGAAUUAAUCUUUUUAUCUGCGAGUUCUAUGUUUAAAUCUCUCGAUCAUUGGGAAGGAACUCAAGACACACAAGUUGCGAGCAUUUAAAGCUAUCUAUGCUUCAAAAGGUCAAAAAUACCAACUCUCACCUCCUUGAGCUUUAACUUGAAUAAAAUCACUUAUGAUUAGAAUUGAGAUUUUUAAACUCUGGAAUAGCAUAGUAGCAUCCGGAAGUUGUUCCGGACGCCCGAAUCAUAUUUCGGUCACCCGCAUCAUAGUAGAUGUUUUUUUUUUUUUUUUUUGAGAAAUAGGUAGCACGCUAUCCGCUUCGUUUAUUUCAUUUAGAAAUAAACUUAGCUGGAAAUAUAAAUCAACUAGGAUUUGAACUUGAGUCUUGCGUACCAACCACCAAGCCCUUUGCCACUUGCUCUAGGGACGGUCGGUGAAUCAGAGUAGAUGUUAUUGGAGGAUCUGGGCAUCCAAGAGCCCAAAAGUGAAUUUGGGCGCCUAAGAGUUUUUCUGGGCACCCGAAAACUCUGGAAUUUGAAUUUUGAAUUUUUUUAGUAUUUUAGACUCUACUGAGCAGAAGCAAAAUCAUAGGUUCGGCGGUUUCAAACGCUUGAAAUAGGAAUCAGGCGCCGCACAGGUUGCAUACAGUUUUCUGCUUUGCGGAGCACGCGCAGAUUUGGGGGACGGAUGCGAGCGCCGGAAUGAGGUUCAGGAUAAGGAUUAAAGUGCCCAUCAGCACGGGCCGUAUCUACCCUGCCGUAUCAUGCCAACAAGAUAUCAGUACGAUAUAACUCUUGUGCAGAUGGCAUAACUCAAAAUCCUCUGUUUUUGAAAUUAAUAAAUAAUUUUCUCAAUAAAAUUCAAAUAAUUUAAUAAAAAUAUAUAAUAAAUAAUUGUCAUAUUUUGUUCCUAAAAAAAAUAAAUAUUUUAUGUUAUUACGUGUCGGCACAUAUAUUUUUUGUGAUCGACACGACCCAGCACUCAUCAUGUCGUACCGUCCCAGUAAAUUUCCGUCACGACCCCGCGCCAGGACACUUAAAUCCUAGGUUCAGGACACCAAAAAUUCUCUGAUGGUGCCGUCUCAAAUGUUAGCACCAGAUCAUUACAAAAGUGACUCCCAAAACCUGAUCCGGGCGCCCGAAAGUGCAGUUAUAAUCUGUUUCAGAAGUUCGGUACGUGCUAGAUCAUUGCAGAAGUGGAUGCCCGAAUUCCUGUUUGGGCGACCAAAGUGUUGUUUUCUGAAAUCAGUCAAUUGUUGGAUUUUGACUAUAAAUAGAGAGCUUUGCGAGCAUUGUUUCUCAUCCCUUGAGCUCAUAAAUUUUAGUGUUCAAUAAUUUUAACUAUCAACUCUCUCUAAGGUUGAGAAAAAAUUGCAAUGAGAUAUAAUUGUAAAAUAGAGAACUAAAGUGUAGAAAAUAUGAUAUUCUUAAGAGAAGUUCUUCUUGGUAUACAGGAUUUGUGUUUCUCCGGUAAAAGUAUCGGAUAGCGGAAAUUCAACAUUCUCUCGUGUUGAGAAAUUAACAGGGAUGUAGGCAAAAGGCCCAACCUUGAAAAAAAUCGAUCACCUACUUUGAGUUUGAUUUUCUCCGACUCUUUUCAUUCUUCUUUUAGUACAGAUUAAUCAAUUUAUGUUCAUUGCAUUUUGUUUUAGAAACUUAAUUUGCCCCUCUUUUUGGGUUGUCAUUCCGAUUCUAUCGGAGCUAGAUCUCACAAUAUUUAGAUUAGGGAUAAUUGCCUAUAUAUGCCUCAUAUGUUCGGAAAUAUCCGAUCUACCCUUGUUUUUUUUUUUUCUUUCUAAAAUACUCCUCAUAUGUUUCACUGUUAUUUCAAAAUAUUCCUACAGUUAUCCUCUGUUAGCUUAACUUGAGUUAAACAUGGGUUAAAUAUAUAUUAAAGUUAAAACCUAAAUAAAAUACCUAUUUUGUCCCUACCAUAUUAUACUAAUUCCUUAAGUUAUCCUCCUCAUCCUCCUCGUCAUUCCCCCUCUCCCUCCUACCCCUAUCGUCACCCAAACCCAACCCCAUCGUCGCGGAGAGGACGGCGACCCCUUCGACCCCUUGUUCCUUCUGAAGGACGACCCUAUCUCCCUCGUCUCCUCUCUCUGGAUCUCCUCCUUCCGCAGCAGCCCAAGCAGCAGCAGCCCAAGCAGUCUCCUCCGGCGCUUGGAGCUCUGGGUGCUGGCCUACUAGAAGGCGUACGCGGAUGAGACGGGGUCGUACCUCCCCCGCUCCUCCCUCCCCCGCCCCGCCCCGCCCUCGACUUACUCCUGUCCCUCCGAAGACGUCGUCCUCUCCGGGCGCUUCCUGGGGCGACAGCUCCGCCCUUAGUCCUCUCCCUCGCGCGUCCACCGUGCCGUACUCUCGCCUCUCGAAGCGCACAGCUCCGUGCCUCCAGGGUCUCCUUGUUCCGGCCGGCUUCUCCAGGGAGUUCCUCAUCUGGCGGUCCACGUGAGGCCAGUUUGUGCGGCGACUGAAUUAUAUAUUAUAAUAUAUUAUAUAUAUUAUAUUAUAUAUAUAUAUAUUAUAUUAUAUAUUCUAUAGUAUUUAUUUAUUAUAUAGAAAAUUAUUAUAUAAUAUUUUAUUUAUAAUUUGUAUUAUUUAUUAAUAAUUUUAAAUAUAUAACUUUAUAUAUUAUUAAUAUAUAUUAUAAUUUUAAUAUAUUUAAUAUAUAUAAAAAAAUUAUAAUAAUAAUAUAUAUAGUAUAUUAAUUAUUAUAUAUUUAUUAUAUAGCCGAAUUUUUUAUCCCGAAUUUUUAAUUGGUGAACGUAUAAUAUUCGUAUAAAUCACGUAUCCGAAUAAUUGCCGAAUCUGUUUUUUAGCCGUAUUUUUCAACGAAUUUAAAAAUUAAAAGACGAAUUAUAUCCGUACCGAAUUUUGGCCGAAUCCGAAUUAACUAACUAUACCUUCAGCCACCAAGGUUGGUUUAACUGCGAUCGAUCUCGUCCGUUCAUUUGCUCGCUCUCGACGUGCUUUAUUAAUUAAUUAAUUGAUAUUUGAAAGGCAAAUUAGAAAAGUAUUUGCUAUAUGAAGGGUAUAUAAGAAAAGUUAGUUACGGUACAAGGAUAUAUUGGAAUAGACAAAAUGAUAAUUUUUUAGAGAUAACGGCAACUCACUGACGGAACUUAACUUCAGGGAUAUAUUAGAAAGACUUGGAACAUAAGAAUGAUAUUUUCAAUAUUAGCCUUCUAAGAGGGGUAAAUAAGAAAACCGAAAACUUUUCAGGGGUAUAUAAGUGAUUGCCCCGUUAGAUUAACAUCUAAAUGAGAUUGACAACAUUUGCAAAAAAACAUUGAAGGACAAUUUAUUGCACGGCUACUAUUUUUUGGUGGGACCAACUAUUCCUGAUAUGGUAUUGUAGAGAAAAAAAAAUAGCUAUUUCACAUUAUUGAUAAAACAUCACUAAUAGGGAGGGAAUUCUCAACAAAACUGAUCUUGAAUCACAGUGACCAAAUAGAGACCAUUUGCAUUGCAAAAAAAAUUCGACCAAAUCAAUCCAAAUCAACUAAAAUCCUGUAAUUUAAUAAUGGAACAAUAAAUUUGAAAAACUACUGACCGCCUAUAAUAAAAUGAUAAAAGAUUUGAUGGUUGGUAUCUGAGUUCAAAGUUGAGGUACUUGAAUUAGUUACGGAGAUGAUUUUCUUUGUACUAAUUGGAAGUGCUUUGCGAAGAAGAUUGUUUUUGUUAAGAGCUCACCUCCUAUCUCCAUGGAACACUUUCGAAAAUGGCAAGAGAAUAAAAUAGGUAAUUAUUCACAAUAUAUAUACAGUCCCUGUAUUAUUUCAAUAUUGCAAUUUUAUUCAUAUAUAUAAAUUCGCUUGACUCUGAACUUACAUAUAUAUUGCACUUUAAUCUCGAAUAUAUAAUAAGAAAAGAGCCUAAAAAGUUUUAUUAUAGCAUUAUCUUUUUAAUGAAUUCCUGCCGGAUUAUGUUGAAACUUUAUUAGAAACUAGGAUCGUACAUUCUGCCAUGAUUUCGAUUUCUGUAUCCGAAUUGUUGACGGUGAUCCUUGCUCGUGGUUCGUUUUCGUUCGCGAUCUGCAAGAAGACGGGAUGUUUCGAGUCUAAUUCCCUUGUCCCCGGAGAUGGAGCCGUCACAGAUAAUUGGAUUAGGGUUAGAUCGGGACUUCGGUAUGUUACAUAUUUAUAUAUAACUUGAUAUAAAGAUGUUAAAUCACGUUCAUCCAUCAAGGACGUGUCCAGAUACAUCCUAACCGUAAGAUCUAAAAUAUCUUUAUAGAUCAACUUUAAUAGAUUGACCGUAUCUUUAUAGAUCGCCUUGAAUAUAUCACAUGGGCCACAUCCAACAUUAGCCUUUCAUGCUAGUUUGAAAGGCUGAAAAAUUUAAAGUCGUUUGAAACUCUUCUUCUAAACUGAUUAUAUAUAUAUAGGGUAAUUAUUCACAAUAUAUAGAAACAAAUUCAUUUAAACUUAUUACAUAUAAGAGUAACUAAACCAAGUUACAUAUGGAUGAUAGAUGCAUGAUCACUAUAUUAUUCCAAAUGUAACUCGUGAACUUUAGUUAGCCACCGGUUUGAGCUUAAUCGGUAAACCGUUACGGAAAUCGACUUGUGGCUUCGCCAUCGGAUGAUCCGGUCCGAUUAACUCAAAAUUGUAGUUCUGGAUUAGUGUGUGGAGAAAUAUUGCAAUUUCCAUCCUUGCUAGGUCUCUACCUGGACAGAGUCUCAUCCCCCCACCAAAUGGCAUGAAACUGGCCUUCUUUGUAUCAGAUAAAGUCUACAAAGUAGAAGAAACAAGAUGAAUCAGUUAGGGGGGUGAAUUGUUUUUGUACUAAUUGGAAGUGCUUUUGGAAGAAGAAGCUGGUUUUGAUUAAGAGCUCACCUCCCAUCUCCAUGGAUUGAAUUCAUAAGGAUCUUCAAAAACUGAUUCAUCCAAAUGUGCUGCAGCUAGGUGUACUAUGACACCAGUUCCUUGUGGAAUUACAUAGUCUAGAAGAGACAAGUACUAAUUAACAUUAAUUAAUUAGCUCAUUUAAAGCAAUAAAAACAUUAGUUAAUUAUCCCUAUUCGAAAAAAAUGUGAUAAAAUAUCAAAUUAGGGCCGUCAACGGCCGAACACGAGCGAGUUGAGGUCGACUCGUAUUCGUUCAUUUAUUAAAGGAGCCGAACAUGAGCUGACUCAUCAAAAUACUGAGUUGAAAAAUCUAGUUUGUGCUCGUCUUGUUUAUUAACAAGUUAAACACGAGCUAGAUCGCGAACAAUAAGGUAAAUUGUUAGUUCUAUUGCUGAGCGAAAAGUUGAGAGAAAAUUAGAACAUUAAAAUUUUAAUCUAAUAAUUAAAAUUUAUAAAUAUAGAUUUCUUUACAUUUGAGUUGGCCCAUAAUCCAAAUAGUAGAAAUUUGCAAUAUAUUCAAGUUAUAUAGAACCGAACACAAGCGAGCUGACUCAUGUUUGAUUUAUUAAAAUUUCAAGUAAAAAAAUCAGCUCGUGUUCGGCUCGUUUAUUACACGAGCGAUCGAUACCGAGCUCAUCUUGAGCCGAACACGAACUGAGUGGAACAACAAGUUGGAUUGCUAGCUGUAUCAAAUUAUAGCGAAGUACCUUUAUAUUCGUGUUCUACGCUUGCUUUCCUAAGGAGAUCCUAACAACAUUUCCGAGUCGCAGAGUCUCGCUAAUGACCUUCACAAGACAAAUAUUGUUGCAACAUUAAAGUUGAAAAAUUUAUGUUCUUAUAUUAUAUUGAGAGAGAGAGAGAGAGAGAGAGUGAGUGUGAGGUUACUAUGCUUCUGAAGUACAGAGCUUUCUGUGCUCCAGGUUGUUUUCCAUGUUGCGAUUUUCGAAUCGUCGAUCGCUCCGUUAAACUUUAUCUAGAGUAUUUGAAGUACUAGAAAUAAAUUAUGCGAUUUUUUGAUAUUAUUUGCUUAGUGAACGAAGGGCUCAAAAUCAACGGCUGAAAAUAAAAAUCUUACAAAACGUGAUAAUAUGACAUUAAAAUUUUAGAUCAAAUAUUGAUCUUUUUUAUAUAAUAUAAGAAUUUUCUAUCAAAAUUUCACGAUUUGGAUAUUUCUACACCGUUAACUUGCAAACGCUUACUACGACCAUAUAAAAUUAGUUGAUUUUCAACCCUUUUGAUCACUAGGCAAAUGAUAUCGAAAAUAUAACAUUUAUUUUUAGGUACUUCAAAUAUUCUAGAUCAAGUUUAACGAGCGAUCGACGAUUCGAAAAUCGCAACAUCGAAACGACCUGGAAGCACGGAAGGCUCUGUUCUUCCAGAAGCAUAGUAGCCUCACACACUAUAUAUAUAUAUAUAUAUAUAUAUAUAUAUAUAUAUAUAUAAUUGAGCUAGAAUACUUUUAGAAGCACCAAUCCUUUGGUGCUUCUAAGUUUCUAACCCUUGGAUCUACUCCCCAAUUACUAAUACAUACUUCUUGGAUCAAACACUAUUCCAUCUAUCACCACCUACCACUAUCAUCUCAACUCUACAUUUCUCCAUCCAAUGGCUAAAAACUCAAACGCACCACUUCCUUGGUGCAAAAGCACCACUUCCUUGGUGCUUUUGAGAGUACUGGGCUGGAAUACUAUUAAUAGUACCAAGUUGUUGAAACUAUUAAUUUUUUAGCCCUUGGAUCGAGAAAUAUGCGGUUAGAAUGAUGUGGGCCCCUUAAGAUUGAGUGGGUGGUUGGUCGAAUAGUAUAAUCUAACGGGUAAAAAUAAUGAAAGGAAUAAAUCUAACGGUAGAAAACCUGAUAGCACCAAGUGCUUGAUGCUAUCAAUAGUAUAGCAGCUGGACUAUAUAUAUAUAUAUAUAUAUAUAUAUUGCCUUUUUUUGUAUCAUGGUAAUCUAUGUCAUACAAUUGUUAUUCUUCAAUAACUUAAGCUAGGAGAGAAUAAUAAUAAUAUUUAUAUUCAAUAAAAAAAGUGAUUUUUUUUUUCCUUAUUUUUUUUAUUGGAAGCUCACAUUUUGGGUGAAUUCGCAAUCCUUGUAAUCAUCCCACGUUAGGUUGCUCCCUCCAUUCUCACUCUUGGAUUUCAAACAUCGAUCGCGCUCUUCCUGAAACCGCCCAAAAAAUUAAUUCCAACUAAAAAAACUUUUUUUUUUUUCCCUCAGAUAAUGUCGUUUAUUAAAGUAACAAUAUACAAAACUUUUCUAAAUUAUGAACUAUUCUGAUUUGGAUACCCAAUUUUUCAAAAUUUUAAUUUUUUAUUUAAUUUUUUAAAUUAUUUGAUUUGAGCCCGUCAGGUAUCUUUACUUUAAAAUUUAAACUAAUUAUUUAUUUUAAAAAUUUAUAUUUGUAAUAAUUGCAUGAAGUAUACUAAUUAAAUCAAUGGAGGUAUAUGAUACAUUCAAAUUUUGAAAAAGUCAAAGUAUCGUUGAUUAAUUCGAAUUAAAUAAAUUUAAAAACUGGAAAGUAAAAUUAAAAUUUUGAAAAGUUAGAUAAGGAAAUAAAGAUGAUUCAUGAUAAGUUCUCUAUGUUUUUGACCUAUUAACUUAUCAAUACAGUAUUUGCACAACUUUACCCUCAUCUGCUCAAUAGCUUUCGGACAAUGCGCCAAAAAAUAGAAUGCUAAAGAUAAAGUCCGCGCCGUCGUAUGAUGACCGGCGAAAAUCAGGCCCUGAGUUAUGUCGAUCAUCUCCUUCUGUCGAGUACUGACGUAUCUCGACAGUUCACAGUCAACGAAUCGUCCUCCUCGUCGACUUCCCUUCCUUUCGUUUAUCGCUUCUCUUCAUCAAUUUGCUCCACCAAUUUUUCAAAUACUCCCUCUCCUGUAACCCCGGCAAAAACUAUAAUACCAUAUAUAGUACACUACAUUUUGAAACUUAAAGAUGGAGAUGUACUUAAAUGCAAACAAUUUAAUGUACAUCAACUUAUCUGAAAACAUGAAACAUUUUUAAUAUUCACUAUCGAUCCAUUUGAAAUUUUGUCUUUCGAAUUGAGUAGUCAAUGAUACUAUUUAUAUUAUGAAAUAACUAACUAAAAAUUCGUUGAAAAGUUGGAUAAUAAAAUCAAAAUUUUAAAACAAAAUUGUAUUGUCGAUUUCAAGUGGUUCAUAUAAUUCAAGAAAAUACGGUAUGUCUUUUAUCGUAAUUUUUAUAUAGGCAAUUUUACCCCUUAGAGCCUUUGUAUUAUUUGUUUCAGGCAAAAUAAUUGGAAUUGUAGGAGAACCCCUUGGCUAAGUCCAUAACGCGUAUACUUACUCAUCUUGGUUUCGGGUUGUUUUGAGUUCAUUCCCAUCACCUUUGAUAUUACAUAGAAUGAAAACUGCAAAUAAAUAUAAUAAUGAUUAAGCACUAUAUAUAUAUAUAAGUGAAUAAUAUAUUAUAUAAUAUAUUAUAUAUAUAUUAAUAUAGAGUAGCUAAUAUAUCGAAAGUAUAAAAUGUUAGUGCCUUUCUAACUUUUUUAGCACUUUAGAUUAGAAGAUUACAGUUGGGCAUGAUACGUCCCCUUAGGUUUAGUGUGCCCUUAGGGUGAGUGUCCCCAUUGAAUUAAUAAAUAUUAAUUCCAAUGGUUAAAAUGAUCCCAAUUGCUGAUUCUAAGGCUAAAAAAUUCGGAAACAACUACUUUAUGCUCUGCCGAUAGUAUAUUAAACAUCUACUCUAUAUAUAAUAUAUACUAUAUAUAUAUAUAUAAAUAUAUAUAUAUAUAAUAUAAAUAUAUAUAUUAUAUCCUUCCGCCUACUAUAACUAUUGAUAGUACCAAGCCUUGAUACCUAUUAGUUUUCUAGCAUUAGAUCUACCCUUGAAUCAUUUCCACCCCGUUAGGAUAUAACUAUAACGGCAACCACUCCACUAAAACUCUAGGGGACCAACUUAUCAUCCUAACUGCUCCUUUCAUCCAACGGCCGAAAACUCAUAUACAAGGCUAGGUACUAUUUUAUAGUAUAGUAGGCAUAAUGUUCUCUCUCUCUCUCUCUUCCUCUCUUCUCUAUUUAUAUAUAUUAUUAUAUAUAUAUACGAGAGAGAAGUAGGGCUAGAAUACUUAAUAAAGUAUCAUGUGGGUGAUACUUGUGUGUUUUUAGCCCUUGGAUGGAGAGAUGUGAGGUUGAGAUGAUGGUGGUAGGUGGUGGUAGGUGGUGGUAGGUGGAAUAGUGUUUAAUCCAAGGGCCAUUAAUAAUAAAAAAGUAGAUCCAAUGGCUUAAAACCUAAUAGCACCAUGAUGGUGAUACUUGUAAAAGUAUUAUAACUCAACUCUAUAUAUAUAUAUAUAUAUAUAACCAGGCUAUUAUACUAUUAAUAACACCAAAUCAUUUGUGCUAUUAGAUUCGGUUCUUGAAUGAAGGAAUGUGCGGUUGGUAUGAUAGUGAUCUUCCAAACUUGAGUGGGUGGUUUGGUUGAAUAGUAUGAUCUAACGGAUAGGAAUAAUCAAAAGAGAAGAUCUAAUGGUAGAAAAUUUGAUAACACUAAGUGUUUGAACUUUUUUACUACUAAGUUUAUAAUUCUUGAAUGAAAAAUUAUAUGAUUAGAAUGAUAAUAUUCCCUUAACUUCUUCAUUGUGAUACGAAUUCUCCUCUAUGGUUUAGUAGGUGGCUGGUAGAAUGGUAUGAUCUAAAAUUUGAAAUUAAUUAAGAUGUAGAUUUAAUGAUGAAAUACUUUAUAGCACAAUGAAGAAGUUAAGGGAAUAUUAUCAUUCUAAUCAUAUAAUUUAUAGCACAAAAUAUUUAGUACUAUUAAUAAUAUCCCAGUCAGACUCUCUCUCUCUAUAUAUAUAUAUAUAUAUGAGCCAAGAAAAAUUGUUAAUCAAUGUGCACUAGCUAAUAAUUCUAAUUAAAUUAUAAACACUAAUUAUAAUUAUAUUAUAUCUUAUUUUACCUUUUCUUUUACCAAUAAUAUAUUUAUAUUCAUAAAAAAGUAUUAUGAAAAUCAAUUGCUGGAAGGGUGGCCUAAUUUCCUCUAGGAGACAUGACUUUGUAGACUCACCGAGUGCUCCACUUGUAGUUGUAUGGGACGAAAAACCAAUUAAAGUAAUUGUGACAUGAAACUUUGAAGAUUCCUCCGGUUAAUGUUGUGAAGUUAAAGUUGGUUGGUAAGAAAAAAUAAAAAAAUGCAUGACGAGAGAGUUUUUGAUGAAGAGCCUACGCACCUGUUUGGUUCGGGGUUAAGGGGUGAAAUAAGCCCUUAACCCUGAAGUUAUUUUCAAACAUUCAAUUUGGGGGGUGGGGUUAGCUAAUCCCAUUAUUCCAACCAAACAAAAUACUAUUUUACCUACUAUACUUCUUAUUCCACCUAUUCCAACCAAACAUUAUUUUAUCUAUACCGGGAUUAAAUCCAAUAAACAUAUUUUUAUCAAAAUACUGAUAAAAAUUUUUCGACGUUAUAUUAAAGCACCAGUAUACUUAUCUCGACAUAUUUAUUUAACGAUUUCUUGCUCGACUUUUUUACGAGCGUUAGAAAUUAUUCUUGCCGGUACCUCAAAACAUCGUUAGUUAUUAUAUAUUUAAAAUGUUCUUAAAUGUAAGAUUUAUUAUAGUGAAACGUACCUUUCUGGUCUCGUCGACGCCGUAGAUGACGUUGCGGCCUUUCCAGGAGGCGACGAGGGCGGCGGCCUGCCGCUCGAUGCUGCGGAUGAAGGACUGGGUCCUGGCGGUGCUCACGAAGCUGAGGAUGAUGGACUUCUUCUGCUUAUGCGCGUCGCCUGUCGACAGCACCGUCGAGUGCUUGCCCAUCAGCCGCGGGACGUGCGGCGGCCACGCGUUCUCGAAAAGCCGCGUGUCGUUGUUCAGCACAUGCCGGUUCAGCUCCGCGUCCGCCGACACGAUCGACACCCUCCCGAACAGUCUCGCCGUGAACACCCGACCGUACCUGAACAUAUCAUACGUAUACAAAUACUUACAGAUACUUUUAUCAGCAAUCUCUUUUAGUAGAGAUGUACUAUGCGGGCAAUAAGAUCUUAGUUUAGAUCUGGGUUUAGUAAAACGGUCGUAACUUUGCGUACAUGCGUCCGUUUUCAGCAUGCAGUUCCAAUCUGAAACCAGUUUUUCGAGAUGCACGCGUGGACCGGCUCGGCUUGGCACCCAAAGUCAAUCGUUCAGUUCUCCGAGUUUGCAGUUUUAGGUUUUCUUUUAUUAAUUUUGAGAAUUUUGUUUCGUUUCUUUUAUUAUUUUGAAUUAGACAAGAAUUCUGUAAUAUUUAUGACUGAUUAAUUAGGGCUAGAUUUAGACGUUUAAUAUCGAAUUCUGAGUAAAAGAGAGAGAGAAAAAAAAAAGAAAAGGAAGUAAAAGAGAAGGGGAUAACUUUGAGAUCUUCUGGGUCAUGUAGUCGCCGAGCGCGGUGGCGCGGUGCGGGCGGAGGAAGGCGAAGGUGGAGCCGACAACGGGCCACCCCAUCUCCCCCAGCGGGAGCCGCUUCGUCGACGCCUUUCGCUUCGCAUUAACGCUCCGCUGAAACGGCAGCAGCAGCAGAACAACGAGAGUAGAGAUCACCAAAGUUAUUGCUGCUGCAAGAAGAGUUGCAGGGGACAUCUCUAACACUUAAUUCCUCUUGCGCAGAGAGUGUUGAGAUUGAGUGAAUGAUGUAUGCAUGGUAGUAUAUAUAUAUAUAUAUAUAAAAGGAGUGAUUGCCAUUUAAAAUGUCAUUUUGAGUACCAGCCCAUUAAACAUUAUCAUUUGCAUCCGGAUCUGACAAUUUCUAUCCCUAUGUACCCACAUGUUACCAGUAAAGAUAUGAAUAUUAAUUUUUUUUAUCCAAAAAAUUAUGGAUAAAAUGUGUAGGUAUAUGUUAAGUUGUGAGCAUUUAGGGUGCGUUUGGUUCGCAUUAUGAAAAAUUACUAGGAAUGAAAAGAUGUCCGAAAAUUUUAUUUCUAUUCAUCCUAUUACUAAGAAUGUUGAAUUUCUGUGUUUGGUUCGCACGGUCAUAUUAUUUAACCAUGUUAUUUAAAAUUAAAAAAAAUAUACAAUUAAUUAAUUUAUUUUUUAAUUAAUUUUAUAUAAUACUAUAAAAAAUAUUAGCAUCUUUUUAGAAAAAAGGGAGAGAGAGUAUAGGUUAAAGAGAGAGAGCAUAAUUAAAAAAAAAUAGAGAGAGAAAUAGAGUCGAAAUUAGAGGGAGUGAGAGAGUUGAGAUUUUAGAAAAAGAUAGAGAGAGAAAGCUUAGUUUAGAGAGAGAAAAAAAUUAAAUUUUAGAGAGAAAGAUAAGUUUAGAAAGAGAUAUGAGGUUAAAAGUAAAGAAAAAUAAUACUAAUUAGCUGGCCGGUAGGGAGAAAGAAAGAGAUUAGACAUAUUAGGAUUACCCCAAUUCAUUAAUAUGAGAAUAUCCACCCUCCCUCAAGGGAAUAAGAUUAGUAUUUUGGGAUGAAUCUUAUUCCCAAGUAAAUCUAAUAUUACCAACUAGAUUACUUAGUGCGUUUAGCCAAACACCGUCAUAUUUUUUUUAUUCCUACUGGAUUAUUAGGAAUCUUUAAAAGAUAGCGUGAACCAAACGCACCCUUAGGGUAAUCAGUGGAUACCCACAGGUACUCGUAUAUAUUUUUUGAAUUAAAAAAAAUAAUCUUUAUGAUAUUUCAUGAUCAUGAAAAAUUUUAUUAAUUUUGUUGCAUAAAAAUUUGUAAUGAUAAAAUACUUUUAUAUUAUAUAAUUUAUGCAUUUUAAGAUUUUAUAUUAUUUAUUAUAUGUUAUGAUGUUUAAAUAAUAAGUUAUGCUAUACUUUUAAAAAUUAUAUAUACGUGUUUUGUAUUUGGGAAAUAUAAGAGUAAAAAAAAAAAAUCUUGCCGGUAACCUGCAUAUUGGCCGGGUAUGGAUAAAAAUGCUAACUAUCUAAAAGUUUACAGAUAAAUUCUAUUCAUAUUCAUAUGACCUGCAAGUAUAAUGAUCGAUUCUAUUCAUAUUCAUACGACCUGCAAGUAUAAUGAUCCAUCAGUGAGUUAUCCAACAUGUCUGUUUACUAGGUCAUGUUAAGUUGGUGCCUUCCUUUUGAAUUUGGAUUGAGUCAAAAUUAAUUAAAUUAUAAGUUGGUUUAUGAAAAAUAACAAGGCUAAUGGAAUAUGUCAAUUAGUUUGAUAGUCGAUUUCAAUGUGUGGACAAUAUGUGUUUACCAAUGCAAGGCUGAACUGUAUUUUCUUCUAUACGAUAAAGAUAUUAUUCGCACCGGAUGUACCAAUAAGCAUCUUAGUGUUAUGCUUUCAAGACGAGUCUAAUUAUAGUGGUUGACUUUGAUAGAGCUCAUUAUAGUAUUUCUAAAGUUGAGUGGUUAUCACCAGAUAAUAAUAUUAAUAUAAAUAUUGAAAUGUUUAAAGGAAUUCAUUUAAAGACCGAAAAAAUCAAGCAGCAAAUUUUUUAUAUUUUCGAUAGUUAGUAGCUCACUCACUUCUCUCUCUCUUUCUAUAUAUUACUUAUAUAUAUAUAUAUAUAUAUAUAUAUAUAUAUAUAUAUAUAUAUAUAUAUAUAUAUAUAUAUUGAGUUAGGUUAGUAAAUUACCUCAAAAAGCACCAAGGGGUUGUGCUUUUGAGUUUUUAGCCAUGGUCGAGGAGAGAUGUAGAAUUGAGAUGAUGGUGGUAGGUGGUGGUAGUGGAAUAUGUUUGAUCAAAGUUAUUAGUAAUUAAGGAGCAGAUUCAAAGGUUAGAAAUCAAAGCAGCAAGGGGUUUAGCUCAAUUAUAUAUAUAUAUAUAGAGUGCAGCUAAUAUGCUUCUGGAAGCACGGAGCGCUCCGUGCUCCAAGUUUUUUCGAUGUUGGACUUUCAAAUUGAUGAUCGGCUACCGAAAAACUUGAUCUAGAGUAUUUGAAGUAUCUAGAAAUAAAUUUUGUGAUUUUUCGAUAUCAUUUGCCUAGUGAUCGAGCGAAUCAAAAUCAAUUAUAUUUUAAUGGUCGUAGUGAGCCGUUUGCAAGUUUAACGGUGUAGAAAUAUCCAAAUCACGGUGAAAUUUUGACAGAAAUAUCUUUAUACUAUAUAAAACAAGAUCACAUAUUUUUGAUCCUAAAAUUUUAAUGUUAUAUUAUCACGUUUUGUACGAUUUUUAUUUUCAACCAUUGAUUUAGUCAUUUAGUUCACUAGGCAAAUAUAUAAAAAAAUGUAAAAUUAUAUUUUCUAAAUACUUGAAUACCUAGAUCAAGUUAUACGAGCCGAUCGACAAUUUGAAAGUCGCAGCAUCGAAAACGACCUAAGCACAAAGGCUCCGUGCUUUCGAAGCAUAGUAGCCCCACUUCUCUCUCUCUCUCUCUCUCUCUCUCUCUCUCUCUCUCUCUCUCUCGUAUAUAUAUAUAUAUAAUAUAAGAUAUAUAAUAUUAUCUUAAUAUAUAUACAUUUUAUAAAAGCUUGUGAGUUUAUAAUUUUAUCCCUUUCCAAAAUGUCUCUAUCUUUUUUACUAAUAUUGUCAUGUCCGGUAAUUUUCAACUAUCCAUUUUAAACAAAUCUUUAAAUAAGAAUUUAUUCUCAAAUAUAAAUCUUAAGUUUUCACCGUUUUAUCUCAUCCAACGAAUAAAAAUAAAAGUAUCUGUCAUUUUUGUUGACAAAAAUACCCUCCAUAUGCGUUAUCUCCUAUAUACACCGCAUUUUUUAAAUAUUUUUUUUCUAUCCACCAAUAAUGUAAUACGUAAAACUAAAUUUAUCUCUUAUCUAACGUAAUACCCACCAAUCACGUACUUCCGCUAAUCACGUAAUACGUAAAAUUAAAUUUAUUUGCUAUCCACGUGUUUUCUCAAAUAUUUUUUCUUCUCAAACAUAAUAUCUGCCAACACGUAGUAUUCAAAAUUAAAUUUUAAAUUUGUAAUUCCCACCAAAAUUUAAUACCCGCGAAUUUGAUAAUUUAAAUUUUAAUUUAUUAUAGUAGAUAUUUCCUUACAUAAGAUAGUAGAUUUAAUUUUGACGAGUAUUAAAAUUUGGCGCGUAAUAAAAGCGUUAAAUAUUGUUAAAAAAUUUUAAUACCUUCAAAUCAAAACUAAAUCAUUAAUUAAAUAUAAUUUGAAAUAUUUUUAGUAAAAUAUUUAUUAUUUAAAUAAUGCGUCAUAAAAGUGUAGAAUAUUUCUAAAAAAAAAAAUUAAUACCCGCCUAAUCAAAACUAAAUCGUUAAUUAAAUAUAAUUUUAAAUAUUUGUAGCAAAAUAUUAAAUGUUUAAAUAAUACCCACCAAAAUAUUCUCUUAGUUCUCAAAUAUAGAAUAUAUCUUAUCUAUUUUAAAUAAAUUUUUAAAUAAUAAUUUUUUAUCAAAUAUAGAUCUUAAGUUUGCGCCAUUGGAUCUCAUCCAAUGAAUAAAAAUAAAAUUAUCUGUCAUGUUUGUUGACAAAAAUAUCCUCCAUAUCUGUUAUUUCUGAUCUCAUCCAAUGAAUAAAAAUAAAAGUAUUUGUCAUUUUUGUUGAAAAAAAUACCCUCCAUAUCUGUUAUCUCCUAUUUAAGCCGCGUUUCUCAAAAAAAUUUUUUCUACCCACCCAUCAUAUAAUACGUAAAACUAAAUUUACCUCAUAUCUAAUGUAAUACACGACAAUCACGUAAUACCUCCACUAAUCACGUAAUGUAUUACCUGCCCAUGACGUAAUAUUCAAAAUUAAAUUUUAAAUUUGUAAUGUCCUCCAAAAUUUAAUAUCCCCGAAUUUGAUAAUUUGAAUUUUAUUAAUUCAUAAUAGUAGAUUUUUCCUCACAUAAGAUAGUAGAUUUAAUUUUGACGAGUAUUAAAAUUUGGCACGCCAUAGAGGCCUUAAAUAUUGCUAAAAAAAUUUUAAUAUCCCAAAAUCAAAAAUAAAUCAUUAAUCGUUAAUUAAAUAUAAUUUUAAAUAUUUUUAGUAAAAUAUUCAGUAUUUAAAUAAUGUAUCAUAAAAGCAUAGAAUAUUUCUAAACAAAAUUAAUACCCGCUCAAUCAAAACUAAAUCGUUAAUUAAAUAUAAUUUUAAAUUUUUUUAGCAAAAUAUUAAAUAUUUAAAUAAUACCCACCAAAAUAUUCUCCGCAUUCUCAAAUAUAGAAUAUAUUUUAAUACCUUUGCAUAUAAUAUCUACACUACCCAAUCUUAUUUCAUAAUAAUAUUUAUUACACAAUAUAUACAUCAUAUCUUUUUUUGUUAGCAUAUCUUUUUUGGUAUUUUCUCAUUUAACUUUUAGUAGUAUUAAUUUUUCUUUUUAUCUAUAUUUUUUUCAAAUAUUUUUUUAGUAAUAUAUUUUCUCAUUUGUCACAGCGAUAUAUAGUCAUCGUGCUACUCAUCAUCGUUGCCUGUGCCGAUACAUUUUUGUGUUCGCCGCCUUUCGUCAUAAUUAAAAAGGUAUUUUAAUCCCAUAUGAAAUUUUUUUUUUUUAAUGUGCCUUUAUACUAUUUUAGUAUAUUUUUUUUAUUUUUUCUUAUUUUCACAUAUAUGUUUCUCAAAUAUAAAAUAUAUAUUUUUUAGUAAUAUAUUUUUUUAUUUUUAUCUAUAUUUUUUAAAAUAUUUUUAAAUAUUUGUUUUGUAAUAUACUUUCUCAUUUGUCUCUGAUUUCGACAUUACUAUGUCGUCGUCGUCAUCACCGGCGCCGACACAUUAUCGCUUUCGCCACUUUCGCCGCCUUCGCACAAUUGUAGAGGUAUUUUGAUCCCAUCUGAAAUUUCUCUUUUUUCAAUAUGUCUUUAUACUGUUUUAGUAUUUUUUUAAUAUUUCUCAUUUUCAUUUAUAAAUUUCUCAAAUAUAAAAUAUAUAUUUUUUUAAUAAUAUUUUUUUAUUUUUGUUAUUAUUUUCUUAAAUAUUCUCAAAUAUUUUUUAAUAAUAUCCUUUUUUAUUUAUCUCCGUUGUCGACACCGGUACAUCAUCACAUCACUGUUCCGUCGCACAUUAUCGCAUUUCCAUAGUAGAAAGGUUAUUUUAAUUUCAUCUCAAAUUUUGUUAAUGUGCCAUUAUAUUGCUUACAUAUUUUUUUAGUAUUUUCUCAUUUUUACCUAUAUAUUUCAAUAUAAUAUUAUAUAAUAUAUAUAUAUAUAUAUAUAAAUAUAUAUAUAAUAUAUAAUAUAAAAUAAUAUUUUUUAAUUUUUAUCUAUAUUUUUCUCAAAUAUGACUCAAAUAUUUUUAGUAAUAUAUUUCUCAUGUCCCAUUGUCGAAACCCCACAUUCUCAUCAUCUUCGUCAUUGUUAUCGCUUGGCAUCGCGCCGAACAUUCGCCUCGCUACCUUCUAUACUACUACUAAACUUCUAUAUUAUUUAGUUUUCUUAAUGUAUGUAGAAUGGUUGUUCAAAUUCAAUCACUUUUUAUUUUAUGAUGUUUAAUCGCCCUAAAUUAUAAGUAAAGUUUUCCUUUUUAUCAUUUCACAUGAAAAAAAUAUUAAUAACUAAUUAUUAGAAGAUUGAAACAUGAGUGAAUUAGAUUUGAUCCGAUCUAGACAAAAUAAUGCAAACACACAUUAGUCAUAGGAGAGAUGCUAGUGUAAAUCAAUUCAGUGUUAUAUAACAUUCGCACGUUAAUAUAACAAACUUGAUAGGAUUAAAUUUAAUUAUUUAUUUUUCUGUAGUAUUUAAAUUUGAUUAUCAGGAUUCAAUUUAUUUAGCAAAAUUGGCAGUAACAAAUUGCUGUUAUAUCAUCUAUUCCAAAAACCUCAAGAAAUAAAAUUAAACUAAAAAGUUUACUUUAAUGAAUUCUUAUUAAAUUUAUAUUUAUUCAAUUUUAUCAUCUGAUGAUUUAGUAAUAUUUACUUUAUAUUUUUCUAUUUUCAUAAAGUUGCUACAUAAAUGAGGCUGAUCGUGACAUUUAGUUAGUUUCCAGUGACAAUUUGGUUUCUUUCAAAUAUAUCAUGAUAAUUUGUGCUUCUUUGAUAAAUUAAAUAUUUUUAUUCUGUCAUUUAUUUAGUAAUAAUUAAAUACUAUAUAUUGAAUCUUAAAUAUGAUUUAUAAAAUUUAUUGUUGAGUAUGUCGAACUGCAUUGCACGUCCACUUAAACUAGUAUAUAUAUAUAUAUAUUAGUCCUGCUAUAUCCACUUGAUCGAUCGAUUACCAAUCCUUGUACUAUGAGUUUAUCUCCGUGUAGAUCUAUCCUUGAUCAUUCCACCCGUUAGAUAAUACUAUUAAACCAUACUACCCACUCAACCCUAGGACCACUAUCAAUUAACUGGGGAUCACUAUCAGUCCUAACCGCACAUUCUUCAUCCAACGGCACAAAAACUCCCCAAUUGUUACAAGCCGGCUUACACCUAUUAAAGUUAAGCUACCAUAUAUAAUAUUAAUAAAUAUAAUAUAAUUAUAUAUAUAUAAUAUAUAUAUAUAUAUAUAUAUAUAUAGUAUAUAUUGCCGUCUGGUCCGUAUGCUUCUGAAAGUACGCGAGCGCUCUUGUACUUCUAAUUUUUCGAUGUUCGACUUCGAAUCGACGAUUGCCACUCCUUAGACUUGCAUCUAUAAGUAAUUUUGAAGUACCUCUAAAAAAAUUUCGAUUUUCGAAUCAUUUCCUAGUUGACAAGCUGACUCAAAAUUAACGCUGAAAAUAAAAAAUCUUACAAAAUAUGAUUGAUAUAUGACAAUAAAAUUUUAGAUAAAGUAUUGAUCUGUUUAUAUGAUUAAAAAAUUUUCUACAAAAUUCAUGUGAUUUAGAUAUUUCUACACUGUAAACUUGCAAAACGUGCACCACACCAUUAAAAUGAUUAUUUUGAUUCCUUUCCAUAAUAGCAAUAUGUAUCAAAAAAAAUCACAAAAUUUAUUUUCUAGUACUCUCAUAAAUAUAAUUACCGUAUAUCAACUCUACGGUUGCCGAUCGUCGAUUCGAAAUCCAACAUCAAAAACAAACUGGAAGCACUAAACCACCCUAUAUAUAUAUAUAUUAUAUAAUAUAUAUAUAAUAUAUAUAUAGUAUAUAAUAUAUAUUAUAUAUAUCAAUCAUAUUAUUAGAAUUAUAAUCGAUACCUAUAUAUAUAUUCCAUCAAUCAACUGUUACACGGUCGCGAGCAGACUGUAGGCGCCGCUGCGAGCGCGGGCGCAGCAAAGGCCCGCGAGCAGGAGCCGGCGCGCAGGCGGCACGCGCAUCCAAGGUCUGUCGCGACGCCUGCUAGCAGGCCUGCCGCUGCGGUGGCUGCGCAGCGGGCGCGGCGGGGGAGAGGGGCGUUUUUCCCGGCGCUCGACGCACCGACGAGGGCACGGCGGCCGGCGUGGCGCCCCUUGGCGGCGCGCUGCGCUCGCGGCGCGACGCAACGCACGGUCUGCCGAGAGCCGAAAAAAAAUCGCACCUCUUGUCAGGUGGUGGCGUUGCACGGGCUCCAAGUGCCUCGUGACCACUUGAGAGGAUGUCAACGCGUGGACCUCCCUCUCAUCCUCUCUCUCUCUCUCCUCUCUUUCAUUAUAUAUAUAUAUAUAAUCGUCGAUUCGAAAGUCCAACAUCAAAAACAACUUGGAAGCAACGGAACCGCAGCCCAUAUAUACUAUAUAUAUAUAUAUAUAAUAUAUACUGAAAGAUAUUUAUUAGAAUCUAUAAUCUAUAACCUAAUAUUAUUCCUCAAUACUGUACACGUGUCGCGAGCAGACCGAUGUGCGGGCGAGGGCCGCGGGGCGCGGGCACGGCGCGAGCGGGGGCUGGCGCGGAGGCUGGCGAGGGCGCGGGCGCGGGCGCUGGCGAGGGUGGGGCUGCGAGCGGGCGCUGGCAGAGGGGCGGUUCCGGCGCUGGCGUGGACGCGACCGACGGGGGGCACGGCGGGCGCCGGCGUGGGGCGCCUGUGGCGGGCUGCUGGACUGGCGGCGCGAUGCAACACACGGUCUGCGCGGAGCCGAAAAAAAUCCGCGGCUCUUGUGGUGGUGUGGUUGCACGGGUUCCCAAGUGGCCUCGUGGACCACUGUAGAGGGAGGUCAACGGUGGACCUCUCUCUCAUUCUCUCUCUCUCUUUCUAUAUAUAUAUAUAUUAUAAUAUAUAUAUAUAUAAUAUAUAUAAAUAUAUAUAUAUAUAUAAUAUAAAUAAAAUUUUACUUUUUUUAUAAAUAUAUAUUUAUUUAUUAUAUAUAUAAUUUUAUUUAUAAAUAUAUAUUUAUUUAUUAUAUAUAGUAUUUUAUUUGUAUAUAGAUAUAUUAUUAUAUAAUAAUUUAUUAUAUAAAUAAAUAUUAAAUAAUUUAGACGGCUGGUAUUAGAUAUAAAUAUUAAUUUUAUAAUAUUGAGCAUUCACAUAUAAAUUGUACAUUAAAAAAUAAAAAAAAUUGAUACUGCUUUAGUUAAUUUUAUAUUUGACGAAUAUUAAUUGCGAGAAUCACAAACAAUAAUUUCUCUUCUCAUUCAUUAACUACUGGGGGACUACGAUACCUACUAAAAUUAUUUCACUAAUUAAUGGGGCACUACUAUACCCACUAAAAUUUUUUGAUGUAAUUAUUGCACCAUUUAAAUUUUGAAAUUAAUUUUUAUAACUAAUUUUUAAAAUUAAAUUUUAAAAAUAAUUAUCCGCAGCAUCACACGGAUCCCUUAACUAGUUUAGAACUAUAGG
rnacentral:lncRNA from 1 species